CCUACGGGGGACAGCAGUCGAGAAUCAUUCACAAUGGGGGAAACCCUGAUGGUGCGACGCCGCGUGGGGGAAUGAAGGUCUUCGGAUUGUAAACCCCUGUCAUGUGGGAGCAAAUUAAAAAGAUAGUACCACAAGAGGAAGAGACGGCUAACUCUGUGCCAGCAGCCGCGGUAAUACAGAGGUCUCAAGCGUUGUUCGGAAUCACUGGGCGUAAAGCGUGCGUAGGCUGUUUCGUAAGUCGUGUGUGAAAGGCGCGGGCUCAACCCGCGGACGGCACAUGAUACUGCGAGACUAGAGUAAGGGAGGGGGAACCGGAAUUCUCGGUGUAGCAGUGAAAUGCGUAGAUAUCGAGAGGAACACUCGUGGCGAAGGCGGGUUCCUGGACAUUAACUGACGCUGAGGCACGAAGGCCAGGGGAGCGAAAGGGAUUAGAUACCCUGGUAGUC
rnacentral:rRNA from 1 species